AGUGAACGCUGGCGGUAGGCCUAACACAUGCAAGUCGAACGGCAGCACAGUAAGAGCUUGCUCUUACGGGUGGCGAGUGGCGGACGGGUGAAGAAUACAUCGGAAUCUACUUUUUCGUGGGGGAUAACGUAGGGAAACUUACGCUAAUACCGCAUACGACCUACGGGUGAAAGCAGGGGAUCUUCGGACCUUGCGCGAUUGAAUGAGCCGAUGUCGGAUUAGCUAGUUGGCGGGGUAAAGGCCCACCAAGGCGACGAUCCGUAGCUGGUCUGAGAGGAUGAUCAGGCACACUGGAACUGAGACACGGUCCAGACUCCUACGGGAGGCAGCAGUGGGGAAUAUUGGACAAUGGGCGAAAGCCUGAUACAGCCAUACCGCGUGGGUGAAGAAGGCCUUCGGGUUGUAAAGCCCUUUUGUUGGGAAAGAAAAGCAGCAGGUUAAUACCCCGCUGUUCUGACGGUACCCAAAGAAUAAGCACCGGCUAACUUCGUG
rnacentral:rRNA from 1 species